AGCGGCGGACGGGUGAGUAACGCGUGGGUAACCUGCCUCAUACAGGGGGAUAACAGUUGGAAACGGCUGCUAAUACCGCAUAAGCGCACAGUACCGCAUGGUACGGUGUGAAAAACUCCGGUGGUAUGAGAUGGACCCGCGUCUGAUUAGCUAGUUGGUGGGGUAACGGCCUACCAAGGCGACGAUCAGUAGCCGACCUGAGAGGGUGACCGGCCACAUCGGGACUGAGACACGGCCCAA
rnacentral:rRNA from 1 species